CAGAGCGCCGGCGCUGAUGGCGUAGGGGUCGUAGCCCUGGAAGAGAGCCUCUCUCUGCCUCGGGCUGGCCAGCUCUCGCACCCUCAGGCUGGGCACCGCACGGCGCACAGACCCGGGCACCGGCCAGCUGGAAGGACGCCCACACAGGUACCCAGGGGGGGUACGCUUUGGGGCUGGGGAGGGGGGGAGGGAGGGAGAGAGAGAGAGAGAGAGAGAGAGAGAGAGGGAGGGAGGGCGGGAGAGGGCGGGAGAGAGAGAGAGAGAGAGAGAGAGGAGGGAGGGGGGGAGGGGGAGAGAGAGAGGGGGACGGAGGGAGAGAGGGAGAGGGAGAGAGAAAGAGAGAGGGAGAGAGAGAGAGAGAGAGAGAGAGGGAGAGGGAAGGAGAGAGGGGGAGGGAGGGGUGAGGGUGAGAGAGAGAGAGAGAGCGAGGGAGUUGGUGAGAGAGAGAGAGAGAGAGAGAGAGAGAGAGAGAGAGAGAGAGAGAGAGAGAGAGAGAGAGAGAGAGAGAGAGAGAGAGAGAGAGGAAGGGGGAGAGAGAGAGAAGGAGAAGGAGACAAAGGGCAAGAGUUAGCAUCCAGGGUUGGCAACAUCACAAGUUCAUGUCUGCGUUCUACACCAGUUCUACAUCAGAUCACUGAACGGCCGAACACAUACCCGGUAAAUCGGCCAAAACAGGCAUUGGUCAACAGAUGCCAGCCUCCGUCACCUUCGUUAUUGUAUUUAUUAUAUAAAUGUAGGCUCUUGUUUAUCACUAUUAUUACAUGUCCUGUGUGCUGCCGUCUUACUAGCGAGUUGCUCCACGCGGGGCGUGGCCGCGGGCGUCUUGCGGGCGAUGGGUGGGGUCCUGAACCCCUGACCCGCCUCCACCCGCGGCCUCAGCCUGGGGCCUCCGUCCGUGGCCUCCACCCGCGGCCUCAGCCUGGGGCCUCCGUCCGUGGCCUCCACCCGCGGCCUCAGCCUGGGGCCUCCGUCCGUGGCCCCCGCCCGCGGCCUCAGCCUUGGCUGGGACAGCUGGAGGAUACGAGACGUAGCACCCCCACGGGGCAAAGAAUGGGCACGCUGCAGACACGCACACACACACACACACGUUUACACACGCACACACAGACCCACACGUAUAUACACAACCACUCACACUGA
rnacentral:lncRNA from 1 species